rnacentral:rRNA from 2 species
GCUCCGCUGACGAGUGGCGAACGGGUGAGUAAUAUAUCGGAACGUACCCAAGAGUGGGGGAUAACGUAGCGAAAGUUACGCUAAUACCGCAUACGAUCUAUGGAUGAAAGUGGGGGAUCUUCGGACCUUGUGCUCCUGGAGCGGCCGAUAUCUGAUUAGCUAGUUGGUGAGGUAAAGGCUCACCAAGGCGACGAUCAGUAGCUGGUCUGAGAGGACGACCAGCCACACUGGAACUGAGACACGGUCCAGACUCCUACGGGAGGCAGCAGUGGGGAAUUUUGGACAAUGGGCGCAAGCCUGAUCCAGCAAUGCCGCGUGAGUGAAGAAGGCCUUCGGGUUGUAAAGCUCUUUUGUCAGGGAAGAAACGGUAGAGGCUAAUAUCCUUUGCUAAUGACGGUACCUGAAGAAUAAGCACCGGCUAACUACGUGCCAGCAGCCGCGGUAAUACGUAGGGUGCAAGCGUUAAUCGGAAUUACUGGGCGUAAAGCGUGCGCAGGCGGUUUUGUAAGUCUGUCGUGAAAUCCCCGGGCUCAACCUGGGAAUUGCGAUGGAGACUGCAAGGCUAGAAUCUGGCAGAGGGGGGUAGAAUUCCACGUGUAG